GGUCCUACAUACUUUUCCAGGCACUACUCCAUCAGAAAAGUCAAUAGCCAUCAUUCCCCAUGACCGCUAGUAUUAAAAAGGGUAGAGCAAAAACGUCAUCCGGAUGAUUGUCUCAGAUUGGUGUAUGUUCACUAUUACCUCAGAUCGACAUGUAUUAACUAUUGCCUUGGAUUAGCAUAUGCUAGAAAUUGCCUCUGAUCGGUAGAUGAGAGUAAUUGCCUCUGGUCGGCCC
rnacentral:lncRNA from 1 species